rnacentral:misc_RNA from 1 species
GUGAAUCAUCGAAUUUUUGAACGCAAAUUGCACUCUUUGGUAUUCCGGGGGGCAUGCCUGUUUGAGGGUCGUUAGAAUAAAAAAUCGAGGCGUCGCUUUUUUUGUUCAGGGUGAUUGUGUCGGAAUAGAGUCGUCUUACAAUUGUUAAUAUAUGUUAAUGUGGGUUAUAAUUGAUCCAUAU